rnacentral:lncRNA from 1 species
GGAGUGGGGAGGAAUUGGGAUUCUUUGUAAGCUCCUGGGCUGGCUCCUGACUGGUUCCUAGACUGAGUCUAGGUGAGGGGCUUAGCUUCCAAUUUUCUAUCUCCCCUCCCCGCCUUCUCUCAGUCCCUUCCCCCUGUACUUCAGGAUGCAAGGGCUUUCCAAUGUUUUUUGGUUUGCAGCUCCCUUUUGUUUUCUUUUCCAUUGCUCUCACCCAAUUUUGCACCUUUCCACGGUCCCCACACUUUCUUUUCAGGGACUGGGCUUUUUCAUCAGGUUAACUGAAUUUGUGGUUUCCUUGAAAAUCAUAAAUUCCAUAGGUCCCUACUCAUGAGAAUGCUAGGCAAGGGCUAAAUGCUGCAAUUUUUUUUUCAGGCAAAAGAAUCUAGCUGCUGCUUAAAUGCAGGAGAAAUGUCUGAACUGUAUGCUACAUUCCUAAACCAGAACAUUUUUCGUGGAAGUCUUGCUCCAGGGGUUUCCUUGCCAGUUCAUUCUGAAGUCUGCACUAGAGAAGGAAACUUCCCUCUCAGAAGAAAAAUGAAAAUUCAUAUUUGUUUUGCAGCUCCUACAAGGAAGAUCGUAAAUUCAUGUGUAGUGUGUUCUGAGACUUGACCACAUCAGGACCCUUUGAACUGCUUUGUGGGAGAUCUUGGCCUUUUUAACUUCUCUUAUUCUUGCACACAUAUAUCUGAAUUACCUUUUCGUAGUUCUUUCGAUACACAAACAGUUACUAAAAGACUUCAGAUAACUGCAGAUCACAUUCCUUCUAAGGCCUUCAGGGCAAGAAAGGGGAGGCACUCAUUCUUCUAUAAACAUAGAAAAAGGACAUGAACUAUAUUCAUUACUUGCCAAAGUGGAAAAGGUUUCUUUGACAGUAUAUUUUAGGUCCCUGACAUAUCUGCAUCAGAAUGCUUGGAGAAAGGAGAGACUUCAACAUGAGUCAACUGUAUUGAUUUCUGCCUCUAAGGAAAGUAGGCAAAGUAGAAUUUUUACUGUACUAAAACAUGGGAGCUUUAGAUAAGUUCUCAUUGGAGAUUUUCUUUUCGGUUUUUCCUUUGGAGAUAGGAAGGUAGAUAAGUGUAUCAAUAAAGGACAAUGAGGGGAGUUUUCUACA